UGUUUUAGUAUGGUGUAUUUGUAAGGUACAAGCCAUUAAUAAUUAUUGGUAGUAACAUGUGUGUAUAUUUUAAACUUACCGAUGAUAAUAAUCUUUCAUAAAUAUGGGGGUGUGCAGAUAAUUUGUUCUUUCUUCACUUCAUUGACAACGGGGUAAUAAUCUUUAGUCAUAGUGUUACACAACUUAUCAACGGGAACAGAGACAGUUAUCAGAUAAUGUACACCAGCUUUAAUGGGAACAGAGACAGUUAUCAGAUGAUGUACACCAGCUUUAAUGUGAUAGAGGAUCAUGGUGGUCGAUGGAUUCUGCACCCUGUAGUAGACUAAGGAAGGAACAUUAUUUAUGUAACACAAUGAUACUCACAGCACCCCUGCACUAUGUGAGAUUUAGAAGUUAUUCAAAUUAGUGUUUGUUGAUAACUGCAAAUUCCGUUUGUCUGCUUCGUAUUUUUCUAUCCCUGCUAAGGUACUAAUCCGUUCUUUGAUGAGCUGUUGAUACUGUCGGCGGAUGCAUCUAUGUGCUAAUUUGCUGGCACCAAGCAGACAUAGCCAAACGAGCUGCGGGCACCAAUCAUUUGGUAGUGGACAACAACACCAGGGGUUGCACUGGUGCACAGCUUGUUCAGUGAUACCAACCCUUCGAGCGCCCUCAACCAUUAGCCAACACUUCUUCAGUUUCUCACCACAUGUGAGUCCUCUUUGCACCAGCAUUAUUGUUAAUCAAUGUAUGUGCUGGUAAUCAAAGUUUAGAUACAUGCUACUAAUGCUAGCACACUCCCCAUGUGGACAGAGCGGCGGCCGAAUGAUAUAUUAAAAAAAACUGAUUUGGCAGAAUAGACAAAACUUAUUAUGGACAAAUAAAGAUGCAUAAUUUUCCUAAUAUGUUUAUUACCGUCGUUCCAUGCAUCGUUCAGGGUAAAAAAGCCCAGAUCAUGAGUUUUUCCUUGCAUACUUAUCCAUGCCUGAUGGCACUACACCGCAUUAGCGUUCUUUAAGUUUGUCCUUGUAUUAUUUCUUAUUUAGGGUAAAAAGGUCCGGAAAAAAAUAAAUGAUGAAUUAUAGUGUAGUCAUUCUUGUAGUCAAAGAUUAUGUUUAAAAUGAUCAUCACUUGAGAUGCUGCCAGCUUGCAGGGUCGAUGAGACAUUAAAUUGUCAUAUUGCUUUUCCCUCUUAUUCACAUGCUAUGAAAUUUCUUGCGAGUUGUACCAUUAUUUUUAGUACUGAUUAAUUCCCAUGAAUACCAAUGGUGAAAUAUUCAGUCCUAAGUAUUUAAUGAGAUCCGUAUCGCUGGCAAUCUUCAUGAACCUAUCAAGGAGAACAUUGCAAUACUAAUUGUUGCACAAGUGUUCUCAUCGUCGGCUAGCAAGAAGAGAGUAUGAUUGUUCAAUGCUCACCCUUGUAAGCUUGAUUUACGAGGAGCUUCUCGGUGUUGUACAUGUAAGGUGUGGAAAAUAUAAAUAGAAUCUCUUUAUUCAUUCUUGUACUGUACCUCCAAUUCAUCUCCCACGGUUCAGUAAAUUUCAAUUGUAUGCUUAAAUAUUAGGAAGCCAUCAUCUUCAAAAACAUACUGCUACCUACUUAAAACAUAUUUUCUUUCUUUGUGUUUCCGAUAAAUUGUUUGAAAAAACACGCA